rnacentral:rRNA from 1 species
AGAGUUUGAUCCUGGCUCAGGAUGAACGCUAGCUACAGGCUUAACACAUGCAAGUCGAGGGGCAGCAUCAUCAAAGCUUGCUUUGAUGGAUGGCGACCGGCGCACGGGUGAGUAACACGUAUCCAACCUGCCGACAACACUGGGAUAGCCUUUCGAAAGAAAGAUUAAUACCGGAUGGCAUAAUUAUUCCGCAUGGGAUAAUUAUUAAAGAAUUUCGGUUGUCGAUGGGAGUG